UACGGGGGGUGCAAGCGUUGUCCGGAUUUAUUGGGUUUAAAGGGUGCGUAGGCGGGCUACUAAGUCGGCGUUAAAAGACGGCAGCUUAACUGUCGGAUUGGCACCGAUACUGGUAGUCUUGAGUGAGGUUGAGGCAGGCGGAAUUUAUGGUGUAGCGGUGAAAUGCAUAGAUACCAUAAAGAACACCGAUAGCGAAGGCAGCUUGCCAAGCCUUUACUGACGCUGAGGCACGAAAGCGUGGGGAUCAAACAGGAUUAGAUACCCUGGUAGUCCACGCCCUAAACGAUGAUUACUCGGUGUUGGCGAUAGAUAGUCAGCGCCUUAGCGAAAGCGAUAAGUAAUCCACCUGGGGAGUACGCCCGCAAGGGUGAA
rnacentral:rRNA from 1 species